UUCGUGUCCCUCUGCUUACACAAAUAUAUUGUUUUAAUUAGUUUAACGUUCCUCUAGCUAUAUUAACUCUUAUAGAAUUACAGACUCAAUAGGGGUCCAUAUUGCUGCGGUCACCAUUUGGACAGUUUAUUAAUCUACUUCUCUUUAAGCAUACAACAGCCACAACGGAUUCGAAUUAAGACAAAGACAUUAUCACGGUAAAUAGUUUUUUUAAUUAAAUAAAUCAAAUGACUAAAAACUUGUAUAUUAUUAAGAAAUAUUUCACCUCUAAUUUAAAUAAUAUUUUGUUAUUGGUUUAAAAAAUUGGCUUUACUUAAAUAUGUGUUAAAUGUAAAUAUAAUAUUUAACGGUAUUUUUGUGUUUUAAGUAUUUGCACUUAAAUCUAAUAAUAAAAAGAUUUCAACAGACAUUUAUUUAAUCAUUUGUAGUACAAACUAUUUAAUGUUAUAUAGCCUUGUAUAAUAUGAGAUUAAAUACAUUUGCAUUUAUCACCAUAAAACUGAAAUGCAAUUUGUUACUUGAGCAGUUUCGGUUUCAUCAAAGUAACACGUUUGGUAUAGAGUAGAUAUUCUAUAACGUCCGAAAAGAGAAUAGUGUGUAAGAUUUUAAGUUAAUGAAGUGGAAGUUAAGUGAUACAUGAUAGUUAUUACGAAAGGAGCAGAAGUUCGAUAGAAAUAAAUGAAAAAAUAAAAUUUUGAAAGAAGAAAUAAUACAAUUAACAAAAGUAGAAUUAAUUUUCAUCUUAUCGUAUUAUUUGUAAUAUCCCUUUUCUGCCAGACGAUUCGUCUAAUUCAAAGAAGGACUAACAUUGAUGGACAUUGAUUAAUGCUCAUGUAAAUUUGACUAAAUAAACUUAAAUAAGUGAAUUAGAUAUCCCAUUAAACGGAGAUUUAUUAAGAUCAUUUGUUGUCAGAUUUCUUUUUCGUUAUUUAUUUUCAAUCUACUAAUAAAUAUACGAGUAAUUUUUGAAGGAAAAAACAACAGUUUUGAUCAAUUAUAUUAGUAUUUAAAUCAAUUAAUAACGUUUUUAUAUUUUAAUAUAUAAUAUAUAA